rfam:Vitis vinifera, whole genome shotgun sequence of line PN40024, unoriented chromosome 8, chr8
AAUCUUGAAAGAAGAUCAGAUUCUCUAUAUUCUUGUUGGUCUAGGCAUUGAAUACAAUUCUAUGGUUUCAGUUAUUAUUGCCAGAGUUGAUUCUCAUCUUUGGAAAAUGUAUGAGGGUUGCUACUAGCUUAAGA